AAUCUGGCCCCCCCGGGGUCCGAGUUGUAAUUUGUAGAGGAUGUUUUGGGUACCGCCCCGGUCUAAAUUUCUUGGAACAGAAUGUCAGAGAGGGUGAGAAUCCCGUCUUGGGCCGGCGGUAGGGCCUGUGUAAAACUCCUUCGACGAGUCGAGUUGUUUGGGAAUGCAGCUCAAAAUGGGUGGUAAAUUUCAUCUAAAGCUAAAUAUUGGCCGGAGACCGAUAGCGCACAAGUAGAGUGAUCGAAAGAUGAAAAGCACUUUGAAAAGAGAGUUAAACAGUAUGUGAAAUUGUUGAAAGGGAAGCGCUUGCAACCAGACUUGAGCGUGGCGGUUCCCCUAGCCUUUUGGCUCGGUUACUCCGUCAUGUCCAGGCCAACAUCGGUUCUGGGGGUCGGUUAAAGGCCCCGGGAAUGUAUCUACCCACGGGUAGACUUAUAGACCGGGGCGUCAUGCGGCCUCUCAGGACCGAGGAACGCGCUUCGGCUCGGAUGUUGGCGUAAUGGUUGUCAGCGACCCG
rnacentral:rRNA from 1 species